rfam:Oryza punctata chromosome 5, whole genome shotgun sequence.
UUUAAGCGCAGCUAUGAGUUUCUGUGUCCAACUUUGAUCGUCCGUCUUAUUUAAAAUUUUCUAUUGUUAGUAUUUUUGUUGUUAUUAGACGAUAAAACAUCAAUAGUACGACUUAUGGUUUUUAAUUUUUUCAAAAAAUUUUGAAAUAAGACGGACGAUUAAAAUUGGAUACGAAAACUCAUGGUUACACUUAAA